UCGUGCUAGGCGGGGAGGUAGCGGUGCCCUGUACCCGCAAACCGCUAUAGCGGGGCUGAAUUCCUACCCGAGGCCUUAUCUUGUGGGGACUGGCCGGGGUAAGUGGCGAGGAAGUUUGGGUCCUGCGCAACGGGAACUCCUGAACCGUGUCAGGUCCGGAAGGAAGCAGCACUAAGGGAUUAUUCUUGUGUGCCGCGGGGGUGCCUAAGCAGAGCUAACUGCUCCGGUAACGCCCGGAAGGUAAUUUCGACGGUAGGUGCACGG
rnacentral:SRP_RNA from 1 species